rnacentral:lncRNA from 1 species
AGGACCCGCACACGCCGUCCUCGUCAGGAAGUGCCUUUGGUGAAUAAGCGGCGCACACGCGUCUGCUCACCAAUGGUGUGCCUGCACAUUCAUUUUACCCAGCAGGCAUUCAAAGUCAUCUGUUCAAAGUCUGCUUGCAACUCUGGGAUAUAAAUAGCUACAAACUACAGAAACUCUGGAAGUGAAUUGCUAGGCGUUCAGUGCUGGGGGUUAUAUUUAGAAAAACAUUUUCAGCACUAAACAUGUAGUAGUCAGUAUUAAAAUGUUGCUGAAUUCCAUGAGGCCGUUUCUGUUUAAGAUCCUAGUUCCCAUAACUUCCUUUGGAACGGCAGCAUGGCCGGAAGUCAGUCCUCUAGCUGUAACUGAUCAGUGGACAGCAGAAUAUGAUGUUUUGGGUCUCUGGGUAAAUGGUAGCACAUUUGAGGAGACAAAGAAUUUGGGGUUUCAAUUUAUCUUCUUCCAUGACUUGAGAAACAUUGCUUGUGGUUGUGAUAAAAAUAAUAUUCUCAGGAAAUGCUUGAUCUCUGCUUGCUGGGUAUUUCCACUUUAAAAUUUAUUCGGGGAAGGGUGGUGAAACCGGGAGCAUACUAUGAAGUAGCUUUUAGUAGUGUGGGUGCUGGAGCCAGCGCUCUGCCUGUCUGUACAGAGGACGGGAAUCUCAGGGAAGUGAUCUCUUAGGAUGGACUCACAAUCUGGUUACAGCCUCUGCUACAGAAUCCAGGGCCUCCAGAUGGACACUGCACACUUCUGAUUACAAAGAGGGUAGGAAAGUCAUGAGCCUGGUUCUAAAUGAAUUUAGAAAGCAAUCUGAUGUUAGCUCUUCGAAGGCAGAGAAAAUAAAAUAAAAACUAUCGUACUUUAUUUACUAACCAAUGAAUUGAAUUGUCUGCCUUUUAUUACAGAUAUAAAGUAAAGACUAUGAAGAGACAAUCACUUUUGCAGCUAUCAGACUUUCAGUAACAUAUCUCCUGUGGUUUAAAUAACAGAUAGUUUAAGUGUUUUUCCAUUACCUUCGUGUAAAUGAAAAAUGCAUAAAAUAUUUUAACAAGGCAAAGUAAUCCAAGGAGAUUGUUAUUUUGUAUUACAAAUUAGGUUAUUUCUGUCAUAAAAUUAAAGUAAAAAAAAAAAUCAACGUUAGGACAUUUCAGCUUAAUAUCAUUUACCAGAGGAACGUGUAACAGAUUUAAUGAGCUAGCAGGUCACCUGGAUCCAGCUGUUUCCGACCCGCUUUAUGAAACAGAGAAGGCAGGGAGCAGUGGGAGGUAAGCUUUAUUAAAGCUCUCGAGCGGCCACAGAAUCGAUUUCUGCUUGAAUGAAUUAAUUUAGAUUAUCAAUUUAUAACCAGCUACACGAAUCCCAUCAACUCAACAAUUCAGUGAAUGAUCAGGUUCAAUCUUUGUAAGGGCUUCACAAUUAGGAGCCACAGCAGCCUCAGUCAGUGCCUGCCCUGUGGCAGUGUGUCAGGGUUCCUCAGCCAAAAAGGGAAAGGAGAGUGUUUGCUUAGGAGGCAAGACCAACCAUCGUUUUAAAAAUUAAGUAGAAUUUAAAAAU